UCCAAGAAGACAUGAGCCAUGUGCAAA
rnacentral:piRNA from 1 species